rfam:Triticum aestivum genome assembly, contig: Triticum_aestivum_CS42_TGACv1_scaffold_641506_T_4AL-0.297893_1AS-0.222513
UAUAUACUCCCUCCGUCCGAAAAAACUUGUCUCAAGCUUAUCCCUCAAAUGGAUGUAUCUAGAGCACUAACUUGGUGCUAGAUACAUCCACUUGAGGGACAAGCUUUUCCGGACGGAGGGAGUACAUA